AUCCACGUAACUCAGAGGUUUUAGAGUUUCUGGCUUCGACUACGGUCAUGACCAGAGGGUCGCAGGUUCGAUCCCUGCCGUGGAUU
rfam:Trichosporon oleaginosus strain IBC0246 unplaced genomic scaffold CC85scaffold_2, whole genome shotgun sequence.